rfam:Triticum aestivum genome assembly, contig: Triticum_aestivum_CS42_TGACv1_scaffold_033090_1BL
CUAAUACUCCCUCCGUCCGGAAAUACUUGUCAUUAAAAUGAAUAAAAGGAGAUGUAUCUGAAUAUAUUUUAGUUCUAGAUACAUCUUCUUUUAUCCAUUUUGAUGACAAAUAUUUUCGGACGGAGGGAGUACCAU